GAGUGUGAACCAGCCAAGUAGCGUGAAGGAUGACUGCCCUAUGAGUUGUAAACUUCUUUUAUACGGGAAUAAAGUGAGGCACGUGUGCCUUUUUGUAUGUACCGUAUGAAUAAGGAUCGGCUAACUCCGUGCCAGCAGCCGCGGUAAUACGGAGGAUCCGAGCGUUAUCCGGAUUUAUUGGGUUUAAAGGGAGCGUAGGCGGACGCUUAAGUCAGUUGUGAAAGUUUGCGGCUCAACCGUAAAAUUGCAGUUGAUACUGGGUGUCUUGAGUACAGUAGAGGCAGGCGGAAUUCGUGGUGUAGCGGUGAAAUGCUUAGAUAUCACGAAGAACUCCGAUUGCGAAGGCAGCUUGCUGGACUGUAACUGACGCUGAUGCUCGAAAGUGUGGGUAUCAAACAGGAUUAGGUACCCUGGUAGUCCACACAGUAAACGAUGAAUACUCGCUGUUUGCGAUAUACAGUAAGCGGCCAAGCGAAAGCGUUAAG
rnacentral:rRNA from 1 species